rnacentral:misc_RNA from 1 species
GUAGGUGAACCUGCGGAAGGAUCAUUACCGAGUUCACGGGGCUUCGGCCCCCACACUCCCACCCUUUGUGUACCUAAACCUUUGUUGCUUUGGCGGGCCUGCGCGCCCUCGAAAAGCGCGCUGCCGGCUUCGGCUGGCCCGCGCCCGCCAGAGGCCCCUCAAACCCCUGUUUUUACCGGUGCCGUCUGAGUGUGAUAACACGAAAUAAGAUUUAAAACUUUCAACAACGGAUCUCUUGGUUCUG